rnacentral:rRNA from 1 species
CGGACUCCUACGGGAGGCAGCAGUGGGGAAUAUUGCACAAUGGGCGCAAGCCUGAUGCAGCCAUGCCGCGUGUAUGAAGAAGGCCUUCGGGUUGUAAAGUACUUUCAGCGGGGAGGAAGGGAGUAAAGUUAAUACCUUUGCUCAUUGACGUUACCCGCAGAAGAAGCACCGGCUAACUCCGUGCCAGCA